rnacentral:piRNA from 1 species
UACCCCAUGGUGUAUGGUGUGUAUAUACCAC